AUGCAGCUUGAAGCCAUGGCAAACAGAGGGAAGAUUCUAAUGGAGCGGUACGAGCUGGGAAGAUUGUUGGGGAAAGGAACAUUCGGCAAGGUGCACUAUGCAAGGAGCCUAGAGUCGAACCGAAGCGUCGCCAUAAAGAUGCUGGACAAGGAGAAGGUGCUCAAGGUUGGGCUCUCGGAGCAAAUCAGGCGUGAGGUCACAACCAUGCGGUUGGUGGCACACAAGAACAUUGUUCAGCUUCAUGAGGUCAUGGCGACACGAAACAAAAUAUACUUUGUCAUGGAGUAUGUGAAAGGCGGUGAGCUCUUUGACAAGGUUGCAAAGAGUGGCAAGCUCACAGAGGGUGCUGCACAUAAGUAUUUCCAGCAGCUCAUCAGUGCAGUGGAUUACUGCCACAGCCAAGGCGUGUAUCACCGGGAUCUCAAGCUGGAGAACCUGCUCCUGGAUGAGAAUGAGAACCUUAAGGUCUCGGAUUUUGGAUUGAGCGCCCUUUCAGAGUCAAAGAGGCAAGAUGGCUUGCUCCACACCACCUGCGGAACACCCGCAUAUGUAGCUCCGGAGGUCAUCAGCAAGACAGGUUACGAUGGUGCAAAAUCAGAUAUCUGGUCUUGUGGUGUUAUCCUUUUUGUUCUUGUUGCUGGUUAUCUCCCUUUCCAUGGUUCCAACUUGAUGGACAUGUACCGGAAGAUUGAGCAAGGAGAUUUCAGGUGCCCCGGCUGGUUCUCACACAAACUCCAGAAGCUCUUGCUCAAGAUCCUGGACCCCAAUCCAAGCACCAGGGCAUCUAUCCAGAAGAUAAAAGAGUCUACCUGGUUCCGGAAAGGUCCAAGGGGCACCCUUGCAGUGAAGGAGAGAACUCCCAGUGAGAAUGUCAUCACAAAUGCUCCUCCUACAGCUGGUGUGAGGCCAAGGAAGAACACUCAUGAAGAUGUGAAGCCCCUAAUGGUGACAAACUUAAAUGCCUUUGAGAUCAUCUCCUUCUCCACGGGGUUUGACCUGUCCGGCCUAUUCAUCCAAGAGGACUGCAGAAAGGAGACAAGGUUCACUUCAGACAAGCCUGCUUCAACCAUCAUCUCGAAGCUGGAAUAUGUUGCGAAGGCGCUGAAUCUCAGGGUAAGGAAGAAGGACAAUGGCGUGGUGAAGAUGCAAGCGAGGAAGGAGGGAAGGAAUGGUGCUGUACAGUUAGACAUGGAGAUCUUCGAGAUCACACCUUCCCACCACCUCAUUGAGAUGAAACAAACAAGUGGUGAUCCGCUGGAGUACCGGGAGCUAUUGGAGGACAUCCGGCCAGCGCUGAAGGACAUAGUCUGGGCCUGGCACGGAGAUGACCACCAGCAGCAGCUAGAGUAG
rnacentral:rRNA from 1 species